rnacentral:vault_RNA from 1 species
GCAACGGUUUAGCUCAGUGGUUACUUCUUCUCAAAUGUUGACUUCUAACUCCACGACCUCCGGGUCAGGUGUUCGAACCACGGGCGCUGUCCGCUGCUCUC